rnacentral:rRNA from 1 species
UACGUGAGGCGCAAGCGUUGUCCGGAAUUAUUGGGCGUAAAGAGCUCGUAGGCGGCCUGUUACGUCUGCUGUGAAAUCCCGGGGCUUAACCCCGGGCGUGCAGUGGAUACGGGCAGGCUGGAGGCAGGCAGGGGAGAACGGAAUUCCCGGUGUAGCGGUGAAAUGCGGCAGAUAUCGGGAGGAACACCGGUGGCGAAGGCGGUUCUCUGGGCCUGUACUGACGCUGAGGAGCGAAAGCGUGGGGAGCGAACAGG